rnacentral:rRNA from 1 species
UACGAAGGGGGCGAGCGUUGUUCGGAUUUACUGGGCGUAAAGGGCGCGCAGGCGGCCGUGUUUGUCAGGCGUGAAAGCCCCGGGCUCAACCUGGGAAUGGCGAUGGUGACUGCAAGGCUAGAGUUUGGCAGAGGGGGGUAGAAUUCCACGUGUAGCAGUGAAAUGCGUAGAUAUGUGGAGGAACACCGAUGGCGAAGGCAGCCCCCUGGGUCAAAACUGACGCUCAUGCACGAAAGCGUGGGGAGCAAACAGG